GACUGUUCCGGCGAGAUCAGAUGCGCGUGGCUCUCGAUCGCGCCGGCUGUGACGAUGAACGGACCGCCGGCGAUCGGCGCCGUGGUGUGGCCGACCACCAUGUCCGGAUGCACGUCGGGCAUCACGUCGGAAUUGCCUGCCUUGCCGAUGCCGACGAUGCGGCCGUCGCGGAUGCCGAUAUCGGCCUUCACGAUGCCGAUGACGGCGUCGACGAUGGUCGCGUUCUUGACGACGACGUCGAGGGCCUUGUGCUGCGAGG
rnacentral:sRNA from 1 species